rnacentral:rRNA from 1 species
UACGUAGGGUGCAAGCGUUGUCCGGAAUUAUUGGGCGUAAAGAGCUCGUAGGCGGUUUGUCGCGUCGGCUGUGAAAACUCGGGGGCUCAACCCCGAGCCUGCAGUCGAUACGGGCAGACUAGAGUGCGGUAGGGGAGACUGGAAUUCCUGGUGUAGCGGUGAAAUGCGCAGAUAUCAGGAGGAACACCGGUGGCGAAGGCGGGUCUCUGGGCCGUAACUGACGCUGAGGAGCGAAAGCGUGGGGAGCAAACAGG